rnacentral:rRNA from 1 species
GGCGAAGGCGGCCCCCUGGACGAAGACUGACGCUCAGGUGCGAAAGCGUGGGGAGCAAACAGGAUUAGAUACCCUGGUAGUCCACGCCGUAAACGAUGUCGACUUGGAGGUUGUGCCCUUGAGGCGUGGCUUCCGGAGCUAACGCGUUAAGUCGACCGCCUGGGGAGUACGGCCGCAAGGUUAAAACUCAAAUGAAUUGACGGGGGCCCGCACAAGCGGUGGAGCAUGUGGUUUAAU